GACAGCCUCAGAGCUGGUGGAAAGGCAGAGCGCAGGCAGCUGGAUAAAUUUGUAGACGUGGAAUUUCCGGAUCAAAUGGUGCUCGGAGAAUUAAAGCUGUCUGGACUCAGUUCCUGGAGUUUUCUAGAAUGGUAUAAGAAGGAAAUGUAAGAGCUGUGAGAGGAGCAGAAAUAAAUAACGCUCGCUGGCCUGUUGCUGGCAGUAGUCUGAUCUAGGGAUUUAAAGGAGGUAGACCGCAACCGUCUCUUGUAGGAGGAGAUUGGAUCAUUGAGAGAGCCCUUGGAAGAGGGGAAGAGGGCUGCAUGCCCAGUGCAUAUUUGCCAUCUAGUGACCAUAGUGACUGGUGCUAUUUGUGCUUCUCAUCCCAGCCAGGCAGACUUGACCUUCACUCCUGACUUCGUGAUCCCUUCACAACUGCAAGUCAUUUUCCUACAAAACUGGAG